rnacentral:tRNA from 1 species
UCCCCUGUAGCUCAGCCGGUAGAGCAGGUGGCUGUUAACCACCGGGUCGGGAGUUCGAGUCUCUCCGGGGGAGUCA